AGAAAACAAAGAAAAAUAAAACCCAGUUUAUGUGGAGGAUUUUAAAUCAAGGGAGAGACAGACACCAGUAAAACCCGAGCACAUUCUUCCUUGAGGGGCUGCUCCAGUGCCUGGACUCUCCUCUCAUGCCACAGGACAUCCCAACAUGACUUCAGAUUGCCCUAUUGCCUCAAACAUCAGCUGUAUGAUGAAGAUUCCCAAAUCCAUCCCCAAUUCCAAUCUCUCCUCUGAGUCAUAGAGCUGUAUAUGCAAACGCUCAACUGCACAUCCCAACUGGCUGCCCACUGGCACCUCCAACUCAAUCAAUGCAAAUGAAACUCAUCACCUUUCCUUCUCAUCCCCAACCCUGCAGCUCCACUUGUGCCUCUGGUCUCAAUGCAUAUCUGCCAGCCUCAUCCACUGCCAAAGCCUGAACUGGGCAUCAUAGGUGCCUGAGCUCCUGCACCCAUUCAUGCAAUCUCUCACCAAGCCCUGUCAUCGUCUACAUCUUUUGUGUCUUCCCCUCAGUGACUACCCUAAAUUGGGCCACCAACUAAUCUCCCUGGCUUCUGUUUUACUCUUUCAAUCUAU
ensembl:lncRNA novel transcript, antisense to PRPF40B